rnacentral:rRNA from 1 species
AGAGUUUGAUCCUGGCUCAGGAUAAACGCUGGCGGCGUGCCUAACACAUGCAAGUCGAACGAUCCCGCAAGGGAGAGUGGCGGAAGGGUGAGUAACACGUGGGAAUCUACCUCCUCGCAGGGAACAACCUCUCGAAAGAGAGGCUAAUACCCAAAAGGGUCAGAAAUGAUCAGAGUCGAAAGGCGUGAGGAGAGGAGCCCGCGGCCCAUCAGCUAGUUGGUGAGGUAAUGGCUUACCAAGGCUACGACGGGUAGGGGAUCUGUGAGGAUGUCCCCCACACUGGAACUGAAACACGGUCCAGACGCCUACGGGUGGCAGCAGUGAGGAAUAUUGGACAAUGGGCGAAAGCCCGAUCCAGCAACGCCGCGUGGAGGAUGAAGGCCUUCGGGUCGUAAACUUCUUUAGAGGGAGACGAGAAAGGACGGUAUCCCUAGAAUAAGCGACGGCAAACUACGUG